CCUACGGGAGGCAGCAGUAGGGAAUUUUGCGCAAUGGGCGAAAGCCUGACGCAGCAACGCCGCGUGAUUGAUUAAGCCCUUCGGGGUGUAAAGAUCUGUCAGUGGGGACGAAACUUGACGGUACCCACAGAGGAAGCACCGGCUAACUCCGUGCCAGCAGCCGCGGUAAUACGGAGGGUGCAAGCGUUGUCCGGAAUCAUUGGGCGUAAAGAGUUCGUAGGCGGCCUGUUAAGUCAGCGGGAAAAGCCCGGGGCUCAACCCCGGCGAGCCGUUGAAACUGGCGGGCUGGAGUUGGAGAGAAGUACGCGGAAUGCGCGGUGUAGCGGUGAAAUGCUUAGAUAUCGCGCAGAACCCCGAUUGCGAAGGCAGCGUACCGGCUCCACACUGACGCUGAGGCACGAAAGCGUGGGUAUCGAACAGGAUUAGAUACCCCUGUAGUC
rnacentral:rRNA from 1 species